rnacentral:rRNA from 1 species
AUUGAACGCUGGCGGCAGGCCUAACACAUGCAAGUCGAGCGAGCGGCGGACGGGUGAGUAAUGUAUGGGGACUGCCCGACCGAGGGGGAUAACUACUGGAAACGGUGGCUAAUACCGCAUACUAUCGGAUAACCCAUAUGGGAUGAGCUAGUAGGUGGGGUAAAGGCUCACCUAGGCGCCGAUCUCUACCUGGUCUGAGAGGAUGAUCAGCCACACUGGGACUGAGACACGGCCCAGACUCCUACGGUGGCAGCGUUGGGAAAGUUUGCACAAUGGGCGCAAGGCUGAUGCAGCCAUGCCGCGUGUAUGAAGAAGGCCUUAGGGUUGUAAAGUACUUACAGCGGGGAGGCGUUACCCGGAGAAGAAGCACCGGCUAACUCCGUGCCAGCAGCCGCGGUAAUUC